rnacentral:lncRNA from 1 species
CCCCGCCCCCCACAUGGUCCCAAUAAAAUCCUUGGAGCGUGGCACCGUCCUCGUCCCUGUCCCCAUGGCCACACGUGUCACCAAACGUGUCCCCAUGGCCACACGUGUCCCAGCACGUCCCCACGUGUCCCCACGCGUCACGGCGCCGGCUGAGCUGGUCGGGCCAGUCUGCGCCCACGCUUGGGGAUGGGGACAUUGGGGACACUGGGAUGGGGACAAUGGGGAUGGGGACAACCACAAGGACAGAGGUGGGGACACUGGGGAUGGGGACAAUCACAAGGACAGAGGUGGGGACAUUGGGGAUGGGGACACUGGGGAUGGGGCCAUUGGGGACAUUUGGAUGGGGACAACCACAGGGACAGGGAUGGGGACACAGGGGACAUGUGGAUAGGGCUCACUGGGGACAUUUGGUUGGGAUCUUUGGGGACAUCUGGAUGGGGACAUUGGGGAUAUUCGAAUGGUGGCACUGGGGACAGGAUGGGGACAUCCACAAGGACAGGGAUGGGGACACUUAGGGGACAUCGGAUGGGGACAACCACAGGCACAGAGAUGGGGACACUUGAAUGGGGACUUUGGGGACAUUGGAUGGGGACACUCGUGGGAAUGGGGACACUGGGGACUGAAUGAGGACCUUGGGGACAGAAUGGGGACAGUGGCGCUGGGAAUGGGUCAGGAACGCUGGGGCAGGGCCUGGGCCGCCCACGGGGACAUCGGGGCCACCCAGGGUGGGGACGGGUGACAUCGAAGAGGUGGCACCGAAACUGGCCUAGGGCGGAGGGACAGGGAGGGGGACACCGGGGGGAGUGGGUACGUGGGGGUGGUGUGGACCAGUAGGGACCAGUAUGGGCCCAUAGGAACCAGUACGGACCCACAGGGAUCAGUACGGACCCAUAGGAACCAGUUGGGGACCCAUGGAGACCAGUAUGGAACCAUAAGGAAUGUGCUCCCAGUGCUCCCAGUGCGCCCGGCAGCACCCAUGGGUGCCCCCAGGACCGUCGGCGUCCUGCUCGUCCUGCUCGCCCUGCUCCGUCCCCACGGGAUCGGUGUCACCGCCCGCACUCUGCCCGUCCCUGUCACCGUCCCCGUCCCCACCACCGCCCCCGUCCCCGUCACCGUGCCCAGCCCCGUCCCCGACAUCGUCCCCACGGCCACCGCCGUCCCCACGGCCGCCACCGUCCCCGACCCCGUGGAGGAAGUGGAGGAGGAGAUGGAGGAGGAGGAGGAGGAUGAAGGCCACGCGCUGUCCCCCCUGGAGCUCCUCUCCCGACGCCGCGACCCCGAUGUCCCCGAAUCCCUCCUGGAGAUUGUCCCCGAGCUGCGUGACCUCCUGUCCCCGUCCUCGUCACCGUCACCGCCGUCGUCACCCGCUGGGGGUCCCCAGCUGCCCCUCCUGGCGGGCGCUGUCCCCUGCGUCGCCCCCCGGGACCCCUAAAUUGGGGGGUGGUCACCGGUCCGGUGUCACCGCUGUCACCCUGAUGCCACCGUUGUCACCCGCAGUGUCAUUGUUGUCACCCUAGUGGCAUUGUUGUCACCCGUUAGUGUCACUGUUGUCACCUCAAUGUCAUCAUUGUCACCCUAGUGGCAUUGUUGUCACCCACUGGUGUCAUUGUUGUCACCCUGAUGCCACCGUUGUCACCUGCAGUGUCAUUGUUGCCACCCUAGUGAUAUUGUUGUCACCCGUUGGUGUCACUGUUGUCACCUCAGUGUCACUGUUGUCACCCGCAGUGUCAUUGUUGUCACC